rnacentral:misc_RNA from 1 species
UGUGGUAGGUGAGCAGCACCCAAACACACUCGCACACACGUAAGCUUCAUAGAGUCAUUAACCUCUGUUCUAUCUUGCCGCGCCUCUUCCACCUUUUCGCUAUCCGAAUUCGGUGGUUUCUGCAUAUCGGCAGCGUUUUUCGCUGUUUCGCGUCCCCGCGGAAGGAAAUAGGGCGGGGGAGAAGGACUUAUCUGCCAGUGCAUCUUAAUGCGCGACACGGCCCCUUUCUUUUGAGGGAAUGGCGCACUUCGGAUCACCUGAGCGAUCAUCCAAUCGAGUUCGCCACGCGGCACGUCCGCGCACCACCCUGCGCGUGCGAAACGUUGCCGCUGGUGUCAUGUACCAUCUCGUUUUUGAAGGCGACUUGCAACGACUGUCGGGCAAGCAGCUGCGCCACCAUCUGGCGCGCAUCAGUCACAUACCACCGACGGAGCAGCAGCUCUUCGUGCAUGGGCAGACGUUUUUGCCAGCUGCCGUGGGCGCUGCUGUUGGGCUGCGUGAUGAGGAUGUUGUCGACCUCGUGCAAACAGCCGAGAAUGUGCAAGAUGACGACGGGCGAGGAGGCUGUGAUGGAAGCGACUCCAUGGCAAGGGCGUCCUCACCGCCUUCGUCAACCGACGCCGGCACGCUUUCGCCCAAAUUGCCGUGGCGGAGCAGGCCGGGAUCCGGGGUCAUCAGCGGCAUGAGGAGAGUGGGUGGCGCCUGCUCCGCGCCUGUAUCGAGGGCGUCCACCGCCUCAGCGUCGACUCGCCGAGCACCGUCGCCUGACCGCCUCGUUAACGCAUCGUCAUUCGCGUCGAGUGGAGUCCGGGGACAAACUACCACAGGCGAUGACAUCGCGUGCAAGCAGCGCACCGAACCACUACGGCAGCAGCGUCAUCCUGCGCCGAACGACAGCAGUCUGCCCCUUUGGACCUCUGCCACAACGUUAUCGUCCCUGCCGUCUGGGAAUUGGCCCAACGGCGGUAGCGGCGACGUGGAAAGCCCGCGGCCCCAAACUCCUGCGCAACGCUCAUCUCGUCGUACGCAAGGCUACGUUAAAGCUGCCUCCCAGCCGUACGCGUAUCCGCAGUCGUCGCCGCAACCGACGGGGCUUCUUGCUCGGCCGUCGGCGUCGCAGUCUGAUCUGCGUCGGCAGUGGUCCUAUGAAGUAGCGUCUCCACCGCCUCUAAUGCCGCAGCGGCCGCACAUCCCACUCGCAUCACCGUCUCCGCUGAACGCGCCACCGUCACUGACUUCACGACCAGGGCCGGCGAAAUACUGUGGAGCGUACGCAGAACCCGCGGCUGGCCUCAACUACUCUCACUACGAUGACCGCCGCACCGUCUUCCGUGACCAAGCCAGUUGCGAUCCGUCGCCAUCGCAGCGCGCGCCGCACCAACAGCAGGUGUAUCGCCCUCUGGCGGUAUCCCCUGGCCCGCAUGACGGAUCAGCGCCACAUGUGUCUGCGCCGGCCGCACGCAGCGCUGUCAUCCGCGCGGAUGAACUGGAGACUAUCCUGGAUGAGCAGAACUACAUAUGGCAGAUGGAGGAGUACCGCUUCCGCACCGAGCGGCAAAAGCGCCUCACCGCACUGCAGCACCGGCAGCACGAGCUGACUCUCGAGUCGGCCCGGUAUGACCAAGCAGUGGCCGAGGUGGAGCGGCAGCUUGCGCGCGAGCGGCAAAGGCUGGAAAAGCUGCAGCAGGUGAUGACACACAACGCCACAACAUCUUGCUCGCUGAUUGACCGUGAGCACGGUUUGCAGGAGCCACCUAUUGCUAUGAGCGACGCGCCGGAUGCGAUCACGAGGAAUUCUCCUGCCAUGCAUCACGGUCGAGCUCGUGAUCACGCCUACAGCGCUCCACACGACGCACCGUACUUCCCCACGGGUGCUUCCGACGGCGUGUCGGCAAUAAACGAGGAGGAGGUUAUAUCGGAGGUCUAAGUGACCUCAUCGCGGGACUUUCUCUCUCUAUUGGUGUGUGUGUCGCUGCGUGAUCGGAUGGGCCUAUGGGUGUGGUAGCUGCAAGGUUCGACGUGCUGCAUCUCUCUGUUCUUAACACACGCUUUUCAUUCUUUAGACCCCUUGCUGAUCUAGAUACCGUUGUUGUGGCAUGUGAGUGGGUGUGCGUGCUGGUCGGCGGUCUCACUCUCCCCACUCCCUUCGGCAGG